UGUACUUUUGAUAAUGGCCAGAUUGCCCUUAUUGUAUUUUGCAGACAAUAACCGAUAAAACCUGUUACCUCUUUAGCCAUCUGAUCUCUCUCUCCUUUUCUUUUCUCGUUCAGUUUCUCUUUUUAUUUUAUCUUUUUGUUGAAAGUUCUUUUCUCUUCUUUCUGAUAAACUGUAACUUUCUCAAAAAAAAAAACUUCCUCAUAUAUGUUUUCAGAAGCGUUUUCUACUCUUUUUUUUCUGUUCUGUUUACAGAACAGCAGGAGAAAAACAAAACUUGAUUUUUUGGGGGUUUGAUUUUUUUUUCAGAAAAAUCAGAACAAUGAUUUUGUUGUGAGUUAUCUCUAUAGCGGUUGUCGUGAGCAAGAGGAGACGUCUCGAGAUCGCAUCCGUCUCGACCCGUCGUCACCGGUCUCGAGCUUGCCCCCGUCACCACCGGUCUCGAGCUUGCCCCCGUCACCACCGGUCUCGAGCUUGCCCCCGGUGGUCUCGAACUCGUCCCCCUCUUCAUCGCUAUCGCUGGUACUGGGGAUGGAGACAGAACAGAGGAAGACAUCGAGAAGAAAGGCAAAGGAGGAAGGAGGAGGCGGCAGCAAAGAGAUUAGGUUUAGGGUUAAUUAGGUUUUGGUUAAUUAGGUUUAGGUUAAUUAUGUUUUGGUUAAUUAGAUUUUGGUUAGGUUUCUUCGUUAUUUGAAGUACACCAAAAUUAUCGAGUUUGUUUACAGAUAUCCAACAUGUCUAAUCUCGCAUAACAAAAUGAUGUUCUUGGCUAUUACAAAUUUUAGCCGGAUUAUUUUUGUAAUAUCAGGAUAAAAUCUAACACGUCCAUAUUGCUUCGCC